AUUGAACGCUGGCGGCAGGCCUAACACAUGCAAGUCGAACGAGUGGCGGACGUGUGAGUCAUGUUUGGGAAACUGCCUGAUGGAGGGGGAUAACUACUGGAAACGGUAGCUACUCCCGUCUACUAUCGGAUGCGCCCAGAUGGGUUUAUCUAGUAGGUGGGGUAAAGGCCCACCUAGGCGACGUUCCCUUGCUGGGCUGAGAGGAUGACCAGCCACACUGGAACUGAGACUCGGUCCAGACUCCUACGGGAGUCAGGAGUGGGGAAUAUUGCACAAUGGGCGCAAGCCUGAUGCAGCCAUGCCGCGUGUAUGAAGAAGGCCUUCGGGUUGUAAAGUACUUUCAGCGGGGAGGCGUUACCCGCAGAAGAAGCACCGGCUAACUCCGUGCCAGCAGCCGCGGUAAUAC
rnacentral:rRNA from 1 species